ensembl:lncRNA
AUGAUGGGCUGUGUUUUUUUGUGUUUUUUUUAUUUUUUUGUUUUUUUUGCAAGCUGCUCUUUCUUCUUUCCCCCUCACCCCACCCCUUGCUGUAUUCUUUUUUUUGGCUGUCCCACAGCAUAUGGAGUUCCAGGGCCAGGGAUCAGAUGGAACCUAAGCUGCAGCAGUUGCAACCUAAGGCAAAGCUGCAGCAACGCUGGACCCUUAACCCACUGUGCUAGGCCAGGGGUCAAACCUGUGACCCAAGACACUGCCAAUCCCAUUGUGCCACAGUGGGAACUCUGCACGCUAUAUUCUUGACCUAAACUCAGCUAUGGGCUUUCAGCAGAGCCACAGUUUUCUUCUCUGGCUGCUACUGACUAGAGAACUGGUCAACCCUCCCUUCACAUCUGUUUCAUCUUCACUGCAGACUCUUCAUGCCCCCAACACAAUUCCUCAUCUUUCCUCCCAACUCAGUUCAAGUCAACACGCAUUUAUUGAAUGCCAUAGCGAAAACUGCUAAGUGCCCCCAGAGUCAGCCCCUCCCUUCUUCACGAAUAACAGAGCCCUGGGCCACAUGCCCUGCUAAAAAAUUACAUUUCCACAUCUCCCCUGAAGCUUGGUGUAGCCAUGUGACUAAGUUUCAGUUUAUGAGAGGCAAGAAGAGGGUGAUGAGAUUUCUAGGUAGGUUCCCUAAAAGUGUGGAGGGCAUAUAACCUUUUGUUCUUUCUGUUCUUCUUCUUUCUCUCUUUCUGGAAUUCAGAUGGAAUGAGUGGAACUCCAGUAGCUAUUUUGGGCCAUGAGAAGGAUAUGAGAAUGUCAGAGCAGAAAGAUAGAAGGAUCCUAGCAACUGGACCUGCUGUACCAGCCUGAGGACUGUGGACUUUUAUGUGAGAGAAGAAACCCCCAGGCUUAAGCCACUGUGAAUGGUCUUGUAUCUGUGAUCAAACGCAAUUCCUAACUGAGGCAAAUGGCCCUUCCCAAGUCCAUGCAGCUGUCUUUGCCAUGCUCCAGUUCUCCCCGUCCUAAAAAUUUACUCAAUACUGGGAGUUCCCUAGUGGUUCAGUGGGUAAAGAUCCAGUGUUGUCACUUCAGUGGCUCAGGUCACUACUGUGGCGUGGGUUCAAUCCCUGGCCCAGGAACUUCCAAAUGCCAGGGGCCCAGCCAAAAAAAAAAAAAAAAAAAAAAUUACAGAAUACCUCGGAAUUUCCAUCGAUCCCUAUAUCUCCAACCAGUCAGUCACUCUGACCUGUCAAUUUUCUGAAGUUUUUGUUUGUUUUCUUUCCUUUUGCUUUUUAGGGCCAUACCUGUGGCAUAUGGAAGUUCCUAGGCUAGGGGCAAAUCAGAGCUACAGCUGCCAGCCUAUACCACAGGCAUAGCAGCGCAGGAUCCGAACCUUGUCUGCAGCCUACACCACAGCUUGUGGCAAUGCCAGAUCCUUAACCAACUGAGAGAGGCCAGGGAUCAAACUGGCUUCCUUAUGGAUCCUAAUUGGAUUCGUUAAUGCUGAGCCACAAGGGGAACUCCCGACCUGUCAGUUUUCUAUGCUGAGUACCUUCUGUACCUGCCUGUCUUUUCCUCAUCAUCAUUCGCAGCUGGAAGUUUGCUAACAAUGAGCCAGAUUUAGAGACACAUGGAGCUAGUGGCUGGGAUGCCCAGCCAGGCAGGAGACACCGCUAGUGGCGGGCCUGGAGCUGAUAACAGCGGUUUUAUCAGUUAGGACUCUUGUUUACCCUGUGCACCCAGAACUAGCACAGUGCCUGACACACAGUAAGCACUCAAACAAAUAUCUGGGGGAUAAACAUAUUGGUUGAACAAUCAAACGACUGUUGAAAUCACUUGAUAUACCCAUGUGGACAUGUGUAGAUAUGGCCUCUAUUUUCGCCUUUCACACGUGUACACAUUACCUUUCAUUAUGGAGACACCAGGUUACAAAGAAAACCCUCAAGCGUUUGCUGUUGACUUGAGCCAUGUCACUUGUAAGAAGGACAAACUAUGUAUGCGGUCAGCUGGAAACCCAGGCCCGCUACCAGAAAUAAACUAACCCCUUGUUGAAAUCGUGCAGGGAAACUGAAGGGAGGUCGGGGAGACGGGUGGCAGGAAAAAUGCCUGAGAUCUUACACAACUUGUGCAAACAGAAUGACGGGGCAGAGCAGCCCCGGGAGUCCAGGAAUUAAUAGCCCUGCUGAGGCUCCGGGGCUCUGGAGAUGGAGCUAUUUAAAGCCAAGAAAUGUCAUUUCCACCCACAGAGGCUGCCCCAGUUGCGUUAUCUGGACCUGCUUUAGCCCUUGGGUUCUGGCAGUCUCCCUGGCCUGACCUCCCAGGGGUGGGACCGCAGGGCUCAGGGCCAAUCUGGCGUCACUGCGCUGUGGGAGGGGGGCUGACGUUGGCAUCUCCCCGAUCCUCCUCCUCCUCAGUACUCAGGCCACAGGACAGGCCUGUGGGGCCCUCAGGACCAGCUCCCCCCUCUGCAAGGGCAGCGUGAGAGCACGGAGGCAGCUGCCCACAGAGAG